GGUCCCAAGCCAAAGAGAAUAAAAUUCUCCAGAAUAGCCAACAAACUCCUCUCUGGCUGUCUGUUCCGGACUUUGAACUCAGCAGCCCUCGGGCUCCGCCUCCCUCCUAAAGGCUCGUUAGGACCAAGAGUCUGGAAAGCCACUUUGGGGUCCCAGUUGAGCACAUUGCCUGAGGGAGCUUUGGGGGCCAGGCCUACAGGGUGCUCUUCAUGGUGGCUUCUGGGCAGCUGGCUGUCCUCACCCCUCCCCUCACAUCUUCCAACAUCACUCAGUCCCAGGAUCUCAGGAUAUUGCUGGAACUCAUCUCCACCUCACACAGCCAGACCAGCCUCAGGUGCCUCCUAGGAGAGACUGACCCUCAGGCCCUGGGAGGGUCCCCAAGCCUGCCAAAAAUGAGGUGGAGGCCAAAGCUGGCCUUCGGAUGGUUCGAGUUUUGGAUGACUGACAGCCCCAGAUCCUGCUCCAGGUUCUUUCCUCAGGAAAAGCCAAGGUCAGACACAACUUUGCCAAAUCCCUGCCCCUUCUUCAGGCUGGAGACACCACCCCCAAACCCACCAUAGGGGGAGGGAGAAAGUCUGAUAGGGACUCUUAUUGCAACAGGGCCCCAGCCUUAUAAAAAGCCCUGGUAACCAGGCCCUUACACAUCCUGUCUCUGUGUGUGCCGGCUGGCCUGAGUCUCUCAGCCUCACCUGCCAGACAACGCCCCCUCCUUCCUCACCCUGUCUCCUGUAUUCUCCUGAAACCUUGAUCCACACAAUGCCUCCCAACCUCACUGGCUAUUACUGCUUUGUGUCACAGAAGAACCUGGAGGACUACCUGCAAGCCUUAAACAUCAGCUUGGCUGUGCGGAAGAUCGCGCUGCUACUGAAGCCCGACAAGGAGAUCGACCACCAGGGCAACCACAUGACGGUGAGGACGCUCAGCACCUUCCGAAACUACACUGUGCAGUUCGAUGUGGGAGUGGAGUUUGAGGAGGACCUCAGGAGCGUGGACGGACGGAAAUGCCAGACCAUAGUAACCUGGGAGGAGGAGCAGCUGGUGUGUGUACAGAAAGGGGAGGUCCCUAACCGGGGCUGGAGACACUGGCUGGAGGGAGAGAUGCUGUAUCUGGAACUGACUGCAAGGGAUGCAGUGUGCGAGCAGGUCUUCAGGAAGGUCAGAUAGCCAGAGAGGAACUGAGGCCCCUCCAGACAGCGCCAGCCCACAGACCCUCCUGCCGUGCCCCCUUCAAGCCCAGAUUGUGCCAGAACAACAGCUAUGGCAUCUUCCUUGACCCAGGCAGGUGGCACAACGCAAAGCUAAAGACACCGCUCAAGGAGUCGUGUAACCUCAGGUGAAUUCUUUCACUUCUGUGUGCCUGUUGCCCCUCCCAGGCCUGGUCCUGAUCCACCUUCUGUCUUAUCUUCCACACCUGCUCCUCCCCUUGGAUUCCUCUCCCUUCCUGGCUGUUUUCAGAAGAGGCUCGCUCAUAUCCUUGACCCAGCUGUAAGGAAACUAUUGUCACCCUUAAUGCAACUAAAGCUUAUCCUGCUGGGUCCUCACUGGAGCAAGAACCCACAGGGGAAAGGGCAGCCAGGUGGCAAAACCCCACCCCAGCCUGUCUCCCACCACUCCGUCUUUUCUGAGAAGCACAGGUGGGACAAGAUGGGCCUCUUGCAUGAGGGUUUAUUAAAGUCUUGAAGGAAACAAAAGGGAAAUAGAACAGAGAGUAAUACGCACCUCGGUUAUCUGAGACACAAAUGCAGCCUCAGCCAUAAACGUAUUGAAGGAAGGGAUAGUCCAGUGUAUAACAGAAACGCCCUGCUAUUGGCAAGCAAAGCACAGAUGGAGUGAAUUUAAAGAGUCCUUUACUAAAGGACUUUGUUUCAGGACGAAAGACCACACAGAGCCCACAGGGUGUGGGAGAUCUGGAACUGGGAUCUCCAGGCUCUGAACUUGUUCUGUUGGGCAAUCUGCUGGUGGAGACCUUGUCUUCGAGUGUCGGGAUGCACACUGUGGUCUGCCUCCUCUAGGUUGCAAAGGGCAUUCUAUCUGGGACUUGUCUUCCCUGCCCAUCUGCUCUUCUUUUCAACAGCUUCUUGGUUCUUUUGAAACCUAUGCUGUCUUCCCAAAGCUCUACCCGCUAUUGUGUUGGCCUCCUGUAAGCCAUGCUUUCAUCCGUCCAGUCCUGCUCUUGGGUGGGAUGAACGAGAGGACUCUACAGAUCUCAAGGUGGAGGAGGAGAGGGUCAGAGCCCCCAAAGGCACUCUGGAUUCGGGUCAAUGCACCUGAAAUACAAGCACACCCAGCAAAAAUAAUAUCCUGCUAGCUGAUCGUCUGCAUGUAUUGUACUAAAAUAAUACAUCUACUUCUAAGAGAACCAGCAUCCGAGACAGCCACCAACAAUACCUGCUUCCCAGUAUUCCUGUCCUUGUGAUGUCUCCUUCCACAUCGUACCAGGAUUGUCUGUGUGACCAAUGGAAUAAGGCAGAAAUGAUGCUAUGUCACUUCCAAGGCUGGCUUAUAAAAGACACUGCAGCCUCUGCCUUGCUCUUUCCAUCUUGGGUCACUCUGGGGAAAGCCAGCUGCUAUGCCACGAGGACACUCAAGUGUCCUUAUGAGGAGGGCCACGUGGCAGGGAACUGAGGCCUCCUGCCCACAGCCAUGUGAGUGACCGUCUGGAAGCAGACCUCCAGCGCCAGUCCUGCCUCCGGAGGACUGCAACCUGCACCUGGACCAAAGCCUUGUGAGAGACCCUGAUCCUAAACUACCCAACUCAGCCACUUGUGGAUUCCUGACCCACAGAAACUGUGUGAAAUAGUACAUACUCGCUGUUUUAAACAAAAUGUGGGGGUGAUUUUUUACAAGCAGACAGAUAACUGAAACAUAGUCUUAACCUUGAUUUUCAUUGCAAUGACCCCACCCUGACUAUAGCCUCAAUAUUCACUAAGUGGGCAGAAGAAUGGGGUUGGGGUGUGGGGGCAACAGAUGACUUCGGACAGUAAAAACGUAUCCAGCCACAAAAAGCUAUGACUCCACCCUCAGUCCUCGCAGCCCUCCCAUCCUAGCUCUAAGCCCAGACCACUCAGCACCCACAGCUCAGCGUCUGCCCUUCCACGAGUCUAGAGUGUGAAGUUCAGAGGCGGGCAGCUGCCCCCUUCUCUCCCUCUUUGAGCACCUGAGUCCUGUCUGAGGACUGCCUCUCCCCUAGGUAAUUGUUAAAAGGAAUGUCCAGCAUCUUCAGAUGGUACCCUGCUCCUUUCACAGUUGUGUGACCUUACUCUGUGGCUUCAAAAGGACAGAGACAUCAGAAUACAACUCAAUGUGCCUUGCGCCAUUAGACGGCAUGAGUGACCAGACGUAGGGAGGAUAUAUCAGACAGCACCGGAUCUUAGCUGGUAGGAAGUUGAUUGACAAGUUCUGUGGAGGACAGAGCAGCAGGGCCCUGAAGUCCACAGCGAGAAGGGGAAGAUGGUGUUCUAGACACACCAGCAGGGAAGAGCCAAACCUGGAUGGUCAGUUUGACCUCCCAGGGUAAGGAGCCUCUGGGUCUUCCGUACCCCUCUCAGGACCACCCCAGUGAAACUAGAGCCAGAGGGUUCUUUGCUGAAAAGAGGGUGAGUGAGACGGAGAGAUGCAGAUGAAAGGAGGCUUUGUGCAGAUGCCAUCAGGUUUUGCCAAAUCUAAAGCCUGGAAAAAGGAGGACACCCGCUGAUAGGAUUUGGCUCUAUGUCCCCACCCAAAUCUCAUGUGUAAUUGUAAUCCUCAAGUGUUGGAGGAGGGGCCUGGUGGGAGG